rnacentral:rRNA from 1 species
UACGGGGGGGGCAAGCGUUGUUCGGAAUUACUGGGCGUAAAGGGCUCGUAGGCGGCCAACUAAGUCAGACGUGAAAUCCCUCGGCUUAACCGGGGAACUGCGUCUGAUACUGGUUGGCUUGAAUCCGGGAGAGGGAUGUGGAAUUCCAGGUGUAGCGGUGAAAUGCGUAGAUAUCUGGAGGAACACCGGUGGCGAAGGCGGCAGCCUGGACCGGUAUUGACGCUGAGGAGCGAAAGCCAGGGGAGCAAACGGG